rnacentral:tRNA from 1 species
GUUCCUGUAGUGUAGUGGUUAUCACGUUUGCUUUACAUGCAAUAGGUCUCUGGUUCAAAACCAGACAGAAAAG